rnacentral:rRNA from 1 species
CCUACGGGAGGCAGCAGUGGGGAAUCUUGCGCAAUGGGCGAAAGCCUGACGCAGCCAUGCCGCGUGAAUGAUGAAGGUCUUAGGAUUGUAAAAUUCUUUUACCAGGGACGAUAAUGACGGUACCUGGAGAAAAAGCCCCGGCUAACUUCGUGCCAGCAGCCGCGGUAAUA